UUGCCCCAUCGCUGCUAUCUUCUUCCAAGUCUAAAUUCGCCACCUCGCUGCCACUCCCCAAUGCUGCCGCCGGCUCUGCCCGGGUCACCAUGUCUGCCGACUGGAUGCCCGGCCAGCCCCGCCCACCCUACCUUGAUGGCUCCGCCCCUGGGUAAGAAUAAUGGAUCAAGUGUUUGAUAUUUAUCUUUGAAGCAGUAGAUCAUGUUUGAUGAAAAUUUUGGUGGAUGUGUGUGGUGUUUAUGUGUUUCAGUGACUUUGGAUUUGACCCACUUCGGCUUGGUGAAGUCCCAGAGAAUCUGGAGAGAUAUAAGGAAUCCGAACUUAUCCACUGCAGAUGGGCUAUGCUCGCUGUUGUAAGUUUCAUGCGAAAACCCAAACUUGGGUGGUUGCUACACUUUUGACGCGAUAACUUCAAUUACUUCCUGCUUGGUUGUUGAGAAAAUGGACGCAAGAAAAGAAAAUUGAGUUUCAGCUCUACUUAUUUUUGUUUUUCAUAAAGCUUAAACCUCAACUGAAAUGAGAUGGUUUCUGUAAUUUUGCAGCCGGGAGUCCUAGUGCCAGAAGCCUUGGGCUUAGGCAACUGGGUACAGGCUCAAGAGUGGGCAGCAAUUCCAGGAGGCCAAGCCACCUACUUGGGCAACCCAGUCCCAUGGGGCAACCUCCCGACAAUUUUGGCGAUCGAAUUCCUGGCCAUUGCCUUUGUUGAGCACCAACGCAGCAUGGAGAAGGACACCGAGAAGAAGAAGUACCCUGGUGGCGCUUUCGACCCAUUAGGCUACUCCAAGGACCCUGUCAAGUUCGAGGAAUACAAAGUGAAAGAGAUCAAAAAUGGUGAACACUCAUUCUCCUUACACUCUAACUCCCAUGUCAGUUCCCCUAAAUGCCUAUACGAUUAGCUCAUCUCAUUCACCUUGCUUUUUCCUCAAUGUGCAGGCCGCCUUGCAAUUUUGGCGUUCGUCGGGUUCUGCGUCCAACAGUCGGCUUAUCCCGGAACAGGACCAUUGGAGAAUCUGGCUUCUCACUUGGCAGACCCAUGGCACAACAACAUUGGCGAUGUCAUCAUCCCCAGAUCAAUUAUGCCUUGAGGAUGGAAUUUUAAUUUGAUCCAUACCCCACCGUAAAACUCCAUUUUAUCAUCUGUAAUGAAUCUGAGUUGCAUAUCUUUGAUCUAUGUAUGAUAAUUCCUAUUACUCAU
rnacentral:lncRNA from 1 species